rnacentral:rRNA from 1 species
AUUGAACGCUGGCGGCAGGCCUAACACAUGCAAGUCGAGCGAGCGGCGGCCGGGUGAGUAAUGUAUGGGGACUGCCCGAUAGAGGGGGAUAACUACUUGAAACGGUGGCUAAUACCGCAUACUAUCGGAUAACCCAUAUGGGAUUAGCUAGUAGGUGGGGUACAGGCUGACCUAGGCGACGAUCUCUAGCUGGUCUGAGAGGAUGAUCAGCCACACUGGUGCGGAGACACGGCCCAGACACGUACGGAGGAAGCAGUGGGGAAUAUUGCACAAGGGGGGCAAGCCUGAUGCAGCCAUGCCGCGUGUAUGAAGAAGGCCUUAGGGUUGUAAAGUACGUUCAGCGGGGAGGCGUUACCCGCAGAAGAAGCACCGGCUAACUCCGUGCCAGCAGCCGCGGUAAUUC